ensembl:lncRNA
CACAUCGGAUAUCAAUAUAGAAAUGAGGGAAUGAAUAAUUCUCAAUGACUGGGAGAGUACAGCUGAUAAUACAUACGGAAGCUUUUGGAGAAACACAAAAUAGAAGAAACCAGAAGCUAUCUUGAGAAUGCCUACAAUUUAAAAUGAUUAUAUUUUCUUAUCACAGCAGUAUUUAUUCUGAAAGGGUUAUCUAUAAGAGCAGUAUGUAGCAUCGAAAAGUAAGCAAACAGCAACAGCAACACAAAUUUAAUGCUUUAACUGCAUUGUUGCAAACAACUAUUCGGUACACCAGAAAAUCUGAAGAGAAAUUUGCAUCUGUCUACAAAAAUUAGAGUAAAAGCACUUUAUUGAUCUAUGGUAACGUUUGUGUUACUCAGAAGUGAAAAAGAACUCCUCACAUGAGACCUGUUCAAUGAACCUUUAUGUUCAGAUUGCCAAGAACCACUCAAAACGGUCUUUUUGCAAAUAACUUAGUUAACCACAUCAGAUCCAGCAGGAUUAAGCUAAAUCUUCUUUUGAUAUCUAAUGUGCUAUACUUCCAAAGCAAUUCAGUGGCAGAGACAAAUAGUUAAAGUGCAGGAAAUUCACAUGCAUCCCCAGUGGCAACAGAUCUUCAGGGCAGUGAGCAUGGGAAAUAAAGAAUUCUCAUUUGUGUUUCUUCCAAUUUCUUGCCAUGUUUCCUCAUCCCAGUCAGAAUUGCAUUGCUAAAGAUUCCACAGUGGCCAGUGAAAGGAUGAAUGGAAUUUAGUUCUCUUUUGUAAGUUGUGUGAGGAAAGAGAAAGGACACAGUAAAGCUUUUAUUGACCCAACUCUAAAUCCAGUGUGUCUAACUAGGAAAUUGUUCAUUCAGAUGGAAGCCAAAAAAGUGUCUAUGCUUCAGUGUGGCUGAGACAGCAAAAUCAAUUCAGAAAACAACAGUUCUGUUUAGAAAGUAUUCAAAGGAAGUAAGUGUACCUAAAUCAAUAAAUAAUAUACAGAAUAAGGCAUUUAUACUGCAUAAUAUUUUCUUAAAAUGUUGAGAAAUAGAAAAUCUGCAAACACAUACACACACAAAAAAGGCCUAAGUAAUUUUUAAAAUUCAAACAAAGUACUUUUAAGGUACAGAAAUAUUUACGUGAUUUUUCAUUGUCUUUCAUUUAGAAAGAUCUUCUUGUGUUUUUCCACUGUAAAAAUACUUAUAAAGUCACAAAUUCUAAAAGUAUUAAGAAUUUUCAUAUAACCUCUUUAAUCUCAUCCCUUGGAAUUUUGUUACUUAUAACAUGAAGGUAAAGUACACCCAUGAUACUGAUGAUCAGCUGUAUAAUAUAUGGCUAUAUAACUGUCCUCGACAGUUUUGAAAGGUCUGUAUUCUUAAACACUGAGACAUAAACUGGUCCACAGAUAGUUUAUUUAACAAUUAAUUUCUACCUAUGGAUGUUCACUAAUGAAAAUAGAUCAAUUUAUGUUUACUGCUUCUGCACAGAAAGACAAAAAGACAAAACUGCAACCCAUAUUUAUAAAUUCUUAUAUUUCUAACAAUUUGUUUGUUUGUUUAUAAGGGAGACUACAUUUUAUAAAUAUUUGGAAAGCAGGAAUGUCCUACAUUGUUUUCUUAAGCCUUCGGAUGAACCGAAUAUAGGGCACACAGUGCCCUGCUUUCAUCUAAGGUCGGAAUAAACACAACGUGUGCAUUUUUUUUCCCCUCAGUUACAGAGAAAGCUUACACUGACGGGAACACCUUUUUAAAGUAUCUGAGUUGAGGAGACUGGUGUUAGAGAGGUAUAAGCUGCUGCAGUAUUCAUACUUGAUUUUUGAGAAUUUCUGUAGACAUAUUCUUGCCUUUAUCAAUCCUAAUUUGUGUAGCAGAAGAUGAAGCUAGCAUAAUUAGCCUUUAAUUUAGGAUAUAACUUAAAAUGUUUAGAAAAUCCAUCUUUUCCUCCACCCUAACAGAAUUUACUGUUUAGGACAUAAUGAAUGAGAAGCAUGAAACAAUCCUCACGAAAAAGAGAAAGUGAAGAAUAACAGACCUCUUUCUUGGCAUUAGGCUUCUCCUUACAGAAGGAAGAUUUGUAGCUUGUCUUCUGCAUUCAUAUUUAUGCUCCUGCUCUACUCCCCACCUGUGGCAGAGGUUAUCUUAGGAAUUUCCUCAUCCUCUCAUCUACUUGUUUUUUCCUAGUCCUCCAUCUUAUCUUCCAUUCUUUCUAUCCUAUUUUAUGUCGAACAUCCUCGUACUUGCUUCAAAUAAGUCGUAGACUUUGUGAUUGACAUUAAAUUGCACAGUAAGCUAUACUGAAAGUAAGUGCAGGUUAUGUUAAAACAAACAACUUUUGUUGUUCUUGGAAAACAGGCUUUACUAAUCACUCUGUGUUCUUCUUUGAACCUUUUCUGGUUUGAAAUCAUCUUCCUUUAGAUAGGUAAAUGAGGUUUUACACAGUGAUGUCCCUCCAGUUUUUUUUGGCAUUAAUACUUUACAGGGAAAUCUUUGUUAAUAUACCUCACAAUCACACCUACUUUUUCCACAGCAAAUGCAAAACAGUAAUGCACAUAUACAAGAUCUCUGAUUUAUGCUGAGUUUGUCAGCAAUAACUGUCACACUGAAUCAAUCAGUUAAUUUUUCAAAUGCAUCUAACCCUGGAAGGAAGGCUGUUUUUAAAAGAACAAUAACUCUACACAGGACUUUUGAGUAAGAAACAACAUUAUCCAGUGAAACUCUAUGUUUUUAUCAGGAGGCUAAGAGCUGUAGUAGUGAACAAGGUUUUGGUGAUUUCAUUGUAACAACUAAAAACAAGACUUAGAAAUUAAAUUAAAAUUAUAUAAUGACUUACCUAGAAAAAUAAUUAAAAAAAAGUUUUUUAUAUUCCUCCAAAUAUAUAAGGGAGAUCUUCAGUUUUAAUGUAAAUCAAAUUGGAGAUGAAGAGUACUGGGAUUACAGGUUCAUUGGGAAAUACACCUGGAAAUGAAAUUACGUGAAGGAUCUGAACAGUAGUGGCAUGCCCACACAUCAGCUGGAAGGAAAGUAGUAAGGAAGGAGAGAGAAGGGAAGGGAAGGAAAAUCACAUUGACUGAAAUGAGAAGCAUGUAAUGGAUGGGUCUGAAGAGACUGUGGUUUUUUCAUUGUUUUGUUUUGUGUUGUUUUGUUUUAUUUUUCCUCACAGGUUGUUUUCCCUAUCAGUUUUGAGGGAAAACAGAAAAAUGUAACAACAGCAUAUUUAUAAGGUUAGUUUCAACUUACCUUUUGGCAGUCAAUUUCCUAGGAACUUCCUGAUCAUGAGUUGUAUCCAGACCAUGGUGUACUAGCCAUUGACUGAUACAUCCUUUAUGAAUUAUUAAACUCUUUUUCAAACUCCUAAUUUUAGUUUCCAGAACAUCUUGUAAUAAAGAGUCCCACAGACUAUUCAUCAUGCAAAAUUGCUCCAUAUUUUGUUUAGCACUGGCAAUUCAAUCUCUGUCCCCUUCUCCUCCUUCUACUUCUUUAAAUAUUUAAAAUAGUGAAUAACUCUUCUCUCCUUCAAUUUGCAUUACUUACACCAGUCAUUUACUUUCCCAUCACCUCUUCUUCAGCCUGAGAAGUCUUAUUCUAGUAAGUGUCUUUAAGAUUUUUUUUCAAGCAAUAGUGGCUAGUUUAGAGCAAAUUAAUGUCAAAGUUCAUAUAAUUUAUAGUCACUUUUUCCACGUGACUUCAGUGAUGAAUGUCAUUUGUCAUUCUACUACUGUUUAACAUGAGAUCACUUAUAAAACUUUCAGACAGAUUUGGACUUAACUGUUCUAUCCAGUAGAGAGAAGUACACUCUCUACUGGAACAUCAGUAAAUAUGCUGAAAAGUAAAUACUUGAAGAAUAUACUGAAAUUCUGCUUAUUUUGUGGAAAUAGAUAAUUUCUACCUAUUGUUUCUUAUUUUUUUUGAACAAUUUAUCAAAAAUCACAUCAAACUGUUUAUAUGAUUUGUUUAUUUGAGGACUUUCGCAAUGGAAAGAAUUUUGAGAGAAGUUGAGCACUUUUUGAACACUCAACUACAUUAAUUGUACUAAAGCACCUUUGAAGAAAAACAGAAACCUAAAUGAAGGAUUUAUAGGUCCCUAACAUAGUCUCUUUCAAUCCAGUUCUUUGAGGUAAAUUUACAGACCUGAACUAUAUGUUUUGUAUUUGGAGAUUAAAGUAAAGCUCAAAAAAAUUAACAAAGAUUAAAACAUCAGCAUUCUUAAAAAAAACAAAACCAAAAAAUAAAACAAAACAAAAAAAAACCUUAACAAAAUACAAAGUACACACCAUAGUAACAUUUUAAACUCAUGCUAAUUCUGUAAUGUAGAUCCUAAAAUACAAUCCCUUUUAAAACAACUGGAAUUGUACACUUCCAGCUUGUUUUCACUGGAUUUUAAAUUAAAUUCCAGAAGCCAUUCUUUAAAGUCUUAAAAGGUUAAGGCCAUAAAGUUCUAAUAGUUAUCUGAUUUGAAUAACAAAGCAAAAUGUUACCUAAGUCUCUAGAUGACUCUAAUUAUCUAAAUAGUUAAUCUCUGAUCUCAGCUACAAUUCUUUUCUUAAAGAUAUGCUAUGUAUACACACACUACACUAAUAAAAUAUCAGUAUAUGAUAGAGUAAAAUGAGCUGAGUGCAUAUGCACAUAUCCUAUUUACCAACAGAUAUGAUGAUUCAGCUACCUCUGAGACCAUUUGUUUUGAAGGCAUUUUUACCUUACAAUAUGAAAGGUUACUGUGAGAUUAUGGGAUUAUUAGGCACUCAUUUUUUUAGUUUCGUAGAAGCUAAAUCAGAUAUUUUAAAGAUUUAGCUUUAGUUUGAAAGGACUGUGUAGUGACUGCAUGAACAGAUGGAAAAUAGAAACAUUCUGCAUUUGUAAAUUACAUUUCUAAAUUUCUUCACCUUUCUACUCCAUUUUCAUGGUGGUUUUUCCAUUGUAAUUUUUUCUUACUUUAAGUUGCUGUGUGAUCCAGCAGUGCAGUGAAGCUCUCAAAGACAGAAAGAAUCAUCCAUCAAUUCUGAAACAUAUCCUCGUUAUACUUAUAGCCUUCCUAGUUAUCUUUUACUGUAUUUUACUUAUAUUAAAAAGAGUGAGAUUUUUAUCUUGCACUGAAAUCAUCAACUUGUACAAUAACAAGUCCAGCCCUCCUGCUUUCCUUUAGUACAAAGUUUGUAAAAGUCUCAUGAUCUUCAUACUGGAUGUCUCUCUUUAUGUCUCUCCUAUGAUCAUUAGUAUCUCUUCCUUUUUUGUCUUGCCUGUGCUCUUUGCUCUAAGCUCCUCCAAAUGUUGCUGACAGUGUCCUCACAAAGAUGAAAGCUGAAACUUCUCCAGAAGAAGAAUGUAUCUCUGUCAAAGAACUUGGUAUAUUUCACAUAAAACAGUACAGAAAUGUUUGCAUUUCAUAUGACAUCUAAAGGUGAAAGAAUAAUGAACUCCAGAGAAUGGUGUUCAUAUAUAGCACUACAGCAGGGUUCAGAGUAUAUGUCACCUCUGAAUUCCCUGGGCACUUGGGAACUGUCUAUAAAUAUAACACAUGAUCUUAUUUUAGGUUUUUUAUCCCUCCACUUCUCUCAAAAUCUCCAUUUGCUGAUGGACAUAUAUAGCAGAAAAAUUAGGUUCAUAAAAAGAAGUUCUGCAGUAAACAAAAUGAACUUUCUUCCAUAGGCAGAUAUCAGUUCAUCCGCCAUUUUUGUAACUGUGGUGCAUGGUGACUGCAAUGAAUUCCUGCUUGACCAACCUGAUCACCUUCUAUGAUCCAGUGACCCGUCUGGUGGAUGAGGGAAAGGCUGUUGAUGUGCUCUACCUAGACUUCAGCAAAGCCUUUGACACUGUCUCCCACAGUAUUCUGCAGAAGCUGGCAGAUCGUGGCUUGGACAGAUACACUCUUGGCUGCAUUCCACUACUUUUUUUCUCCUGAGACAAGUGAACAACUGAAGCUCUGCAUCAUGAUAGAACCAAAGAAAUCUGUCUUCUGCCAGAAAACAAGAACCUAGGCUGGUCUAAAAGCGUGAAGAACUUGUGUGGCUCUGUAUGACUCCAGUCUGAUUCUUCUUGCUGAGAAAUUUCCAUUACCCCCUUGAAGGAAUUUAGCAAUGCUAUGCAAUACCACAUGUAGAGCUUUUCAGAAGUUGUUUUCAAAUUCAAAUGGAACAAACAGUUCAAUUAAGAUUAAAAUACCUAGGAAGAGUGGAGUUUUCCAGAAAUCAAAAUGCUUAACAUAUAUUGUUUUAUAGAGGUCUGUAGCCUGCUGAAGAAAUAACUCAGAAC